UAAUUAUCAAGAAAGACUGAGGGAUAGGCCCGAUGAUGUCUUAGCAACCUAUACGCCCAUUGGUAUAAAGGUGCUAAUUCCUAUCUGUAGCGAUACAGAAAAGAUAAUGU
rnacentral:ncRNA from 1 species